CUUCUAAUCGCUUAUAUUAAAAAGCAAAAAAAAAAAAAUCAAACUCCAUGAAAGUCCUGAAGAGUCUCCUGGAUUUGGGAUAAAAUUGAAUUCCAUAUCACCAGGACGCCGUACUGACAAGGUUCUAAGGAAUAGUUAAACUCACUCUGCCUUUUUGCCUUUGGCAGACAGGGCAUGAGCAGAGUCUCAGUGGACCCCAAUGGGCAAAAAGUCAAAUCUCGUGCAACGGGUUCUGGCACAACAAAAACAGAAUAUAUUUGGCCAAUAAAUUUCACAGAAUUAAAAUAGCUAUAUGGUGAAUCUUCCAGCACAAGGACUAAUGUGGUUUUGCAGCGAUUGUUUUCCAACACUGUUACAAGGAAUUGGUGGACAUUGCUUACUGUUACCAUCUUUCUUAAAAUAUACGAGUGAAAUAAACACAUAAUAGUUAACUUUGAGGUAAGGAAAAGUAUAUAAUGUUUGUUAAUGGAGAACAACAGCAAUUAAUUUUAUGCUAAUGUAUUAGGUUUGGAAACUCUGCAAACUAGGUAAUAAGGAGGUGUUACAUCAAGCAUCUUCAUAAGAUAUUCCAUACUUUUCAAGAUGUUUUGAAAAUUAAAGUUUGACAGUCCUGAAAGUCAGGUGAUCCUGCAAUCUGAAAAUGAAUUAAAUAUAAUCUUAACCAGUAAAAAAAGGUAUG
rnacentral:lncRNA from 1 species